rnacentral:rRNA from 1 species
CCUACGGGAGGCAGCAGUGAGGAAUAUUGGUCAAUGGACGAGAGUCUGAACCAGCCAAGUAGCGUGAAGGAUGACUGCCCUAUGGGUUGUAAACUUCUUUUAUAUGGGAAUAAAAUGUUCCACGUGUGGGAUUUUGUAUGUACCAUAUGAAUAAGGAUCGGCUAACUCCGUGCCAGCAGCCGCGGUAAUACGGCGGAUCCGAGCGUUAUCCGGAUUUAUUGGGUUUAGAGGGAGCGUAGGUGGAUUGUUAAGUCAGUUGUGAAAGUUUGCGGCUCAACCGUAAAAUUGCAGUUGAAACUGGCAGUCUUGAGUACAGUAGAGGUGGGCGGAAUUCGUGGUGUAGCGGUGAAAUGCUUAGAUAUCACGAAGAACUCCGAUUGCGAAGGCAGUUCACUGGACUGCAACUGACACUGAGGCUCGAAAGUGUGGGUAUCAAACAGGAUUAGAUACCCCUGUAGUC